rnacentral:rRNA from 8 species
UUUGACCUCAGCUCAGUCGUGAUUACCCGCUGAAUUUAAGCAUAUAAUUAAGCGGAGGAAGAAACUAA